GGUGUAAGGUGUCUCGUGUUUAACAAACGCACGGCCUAAUUAUUAUUGAGUGAGUGCUCAGAGAAGGUGAAAAGCCUGUGUGGUUGUGCAAGUUUGUUGAACCCUGAUGCUGAAGAGUCUAGUUGUUUGAGAGUACAACUUAAAGCUGGUGGUAAAUUCCAUCAAAGGCUAAAUAUAUGAGGGGACUAAUAGCGAACAAGUACCAUGAGGGAAAGUUGAAAAGAACUCUGAUGAGAGAGUUCAACAGUACGUGAAACCAUAAUGAGUAAAACAGAUAACUGUGUUGUUAAUGUGGUAUGCUCUUCAACAGUGCAUUUGGUGUUGCGAGGCCACGAGAGUCAGCUGUUUUUUCAGUGAAGAGCUCGCGGUUAGCAUAGCCAGAGUUUCUGUGAUCUGGUGCAUACUCAAUCAUUGAGAAGCUAUACUGCUGCGGUAUCGGUGUACUUCAGCCUGCACUAUGUGCGCAGUUGUGCGUUGGACGCUGCUAGCGGUGUAGCUUAGCUGUGUGACAGCUGCGUUGUGCUUUUAGUGAAUGUGUCUGUUUUGUCUGCGAAUCGGUUUAUUCCUUUUUGCGGUGAACAUGUCAUAGUAGCUAAGCAUCUCGUCAUCAAUGGUUAAACAUUAGUUAUUUGACCCGUCUUGAAACACGGACCAAGGAGUUCAAUAUAGCACGCGAGUCAUUGGGUCUUAGUACCUGAAGGCGAAGUGAAAUGCGAAUGUAUUGUUAUUUGUGGUUGUUCCAUGAUUAAGUGCAUAAGCUACU
rnacentral:rRNA from 1 species